GUGGGGAAUUUUGCGCAAUGGGGGCAACCCUGACGCAGCGACGCCGCGUGCGGGACGAAGUCAUUCGUGACGUAAACCGCUUUCAGCGAGGAAGAACCAUGACGGUACUCGCAGAAGAAGCCCCGGCUAACUACGUGCCAGCAGCCGCGGUAAUACGUAGGGGGCGAGCGUUAUCCGGAAUCAUUGGGCGUAAAGCGCGCGCAGGCGGGCUUUCAAGCGGCGGCGUCGAAGCCGGGGGCUCAACCCCCGGAAGCGCCCCGAACUGGAAGCCUCGGAUGCGGCAGGGGGAGGCGGAAUUCCCGGUGUAGCGGUGAAAUGCGCAGAUAUCGGGAAGAACACCGACGGCGAAGGCAGCCUCCUGGGCCGGCAUCGACGCUGAGGCGCGAAAGCUGGGGGAGCGAACAGGAUUAGAAACCCCAGUAGUCC
rnacentral:rRNA from 1 species